rnacentral:rRNA from 1 species
CCUACGGGUGGCUGCAGUCGAGAAUCAUUCACAAUGGGGGAAACCCUGAUGCAUCGACGCCGCGUGAGUGAAGAAGUAAUUCGUUACGUAAAGCUCUAUCAGCAGGGAAGAAAAUGACGGUACCUGAGUAAGAAGCCCCGGCUAACUACGUGCCAGCAGCCGCGGUAAUACGUAGGGGGCAAGCGUUAUCCGGAUUUACUGGGUGUAAAGGGAGCGUAGACAGUGCGCCAAGUCUGGAGUGAAAUGGCGGAGCGUAACUGCGGAACUGCUUUGGAAACUGGCGAACUAGAGUGCGGGAGGGGUAAGCGGAAUUCCUAGUGUAGCGGUGAAAUGCGUAGAUAUCAUGAAGAACUCCGAUCGCGAAGGAAAGUGUCCGGGGUGCAACUGACGCUGAGGCUCGAAAGUGCGGGUAUCAAACAGGAUUAGAUACCCUAGUAGUC